GACGAACGCUGGCGGCGUGCCUAACACAUGCAAGUCGAGCGGAGUCGAUCGACGGAAGCCUUCGGGCGGAAGAUGGUUGACUUAGCGGCGGAUGGGUGAGUAACGCGUGGGCAACCUGCCUCGAAGACCGGGAUAACAGACCGAAAGGGCUGCUAAUACCGGAUGUGGUCAAGGAUCCGCAUGGAUCUUUGAUUAAAGGGGAAACCCGUUUCGAGAUGGGCCCGCGUCCUAUCAGCUAGUUGGUGAGGUAAAAGCUCACCAAGGCGACGACGGGUAGCCGGCCUGAGAGGGUGACCGGCCACACUGGAACUGAGACACGGUCUAGACUCCUACGGGGGCAGCAGUGGGGAAUCUUCCACAAUGGGCAAAGCCUGAUGGAGCGACGCCGCGUGAGCGAAGAAGGCCUUCGGGUUGUAAAGGACUCUGUCUGGAGGGACGAAGGAAGUGACGGUACCUCCGGAGGAAGCCACGGCUAACUACGUG
rnacentral:rRNA from 1 species